rnacentral:lncRNA from 1 species
UUAGUGAAAACAAUUAAACUUUCACUACAACAUCGUAAAAACUUUCAUCAAAAAGACCUAAAAGCACAAUUUGUUGUCUACAUGUCUUCUAGGUAUAAUUUACUUCGUGAUAGUUAUAUUAGUUCAACAACUAAGAUUGUGUUGAAGAGGAUAUGAGGGGCUGCAAAGAAUCUAUCUAUAUACUUUGAUGUGAUGCAUACUAGCUACGUAGUAUAUAUGCAUAUAGUGAAUGUGCCAAACCCAAAUAAAUUCUUGUACAGCUAUAAUUAGAUACUUAUGAAUCUUUUAGUAGCAUAGCAUAAUAUGCUUUUUCUAAUUUAAGAUGCAACAAUAGCAUCUAAAGAUUCCAAAAAAUCGAACAACCAUGUGAAAAAAGCCAAGUUAAAGCAUAGAUAUAUAGAUUCUUGUUUAACCCUUUAGAAAUUGUACAAGUAGCUCCAGCUAGCAUUUCAUUAAUUCCACUCAACUAACUUUACCGUGGCCUCUCUCAUAUCAAAAUCUCCUAAGUAUCUUUUCUUCCCAUGUGUUUGUUUUAGGUUUCUAAUAAAAGGAGUGAGUGAGCAUAAUAAUAGGUACUAGUUGAUUGAUCAUGUCUUAAUCCACUAAAGUUUGUGAGAGCAAAUUAUGGAGGAAGUGGGCAUUACCUUUUAACCAUCCAAUCAAUGAUAACAAACUCAAAGUAAAUCAGUUGGUAAACUAUUCUUAAUUGUCUCUUAGUUCCUUAAUUCUUGCUAGGUGUCAACUAAACAUUGGUAAAAGAGACUCAUUUGGGAUUACUAUUUCUUCUCUUCAAGUCCAAAAUAAUAAUAAUAAUAGAAGCUUAGAUCAAUGAGAAUUUUUGUGAAAGUUAUAAAAUUUCUUUUUAAUCUUGAUUAUUGCAAUGUAUUUUAAUGAAAAUUUUACCACUUAAUUUUUUUUUUCUAUUUACAUUUUUUUUCUUAAAUUUUUGCUAUAAGACAAUAUUGGAAGAUUUGUUGAAGUGGAACCAAAAGCAUGAACAAUAA